UUAAGGUUCAUUUUUUAAAUAUCCAUUACUUAUUUUAGUAAUUGCUGUCUAAAAUCAGCAAUCUUUCAAGUCAAUCAGAGAAGCCUCAUUAUUCAUUGUUUGAGGAUUGCCAUCUUCAUUUACUUCCUGCUGAAGGUUUUGUACUUGCUUAUAGAUAGUCAACAAAUCAGUCAUAUAUUUAUGCACUAAUGUCCCUAUGCUUCUCCAAAACAACAAGAUAUAAAGGAAAAGAAGAUGAAAUACGCCAUCCACUGUAGUGCUUAUAACAUUUUGUUGGGGAGCCUGGUUACCAUAUUUAAAAAAAAAAACUGCACAAUCAGACACUGGUUUUGUCCGCAUUUGCAUUACACAUAUCUGAAGUUUGGAUCUAAAGACCUAUUUGCUUUGUUGCUUGAUUUGUGCAUCUUGUACUUAUGUAAUUAGUCUCAAGGUUAUUGUUUUUCAAGUAUUUCAGCAUGUUCACGAGUCUCUUUGAAUCUGAAAUAAAGGAGUUUUAGAAUUAUUAGAUUGAUUGAUUGAUCUAGGAAAGCAUAAUUGCAUAUUAUUUGUUUCUUUUCGUAUUCUUUAAUUCUGAGAAAACAAACAGUUUGUUGAAUGCUGUCAUUCUAACUGUGCUGCUAUUUAGUCUCUUUGUGAGGCAGUUUAGUCAUCAUUACCUAGGCCAUUAAGACAAUGUGCAAAUAUUACAUUGUGGUGGAUUUAUUGUUAAUACUGUCUUUACUUGAUCUAUGAAUUGCUCUAGGCAGGGGCAAAUCAGGCGUGACAACUUCGGCUGAUGUGACCAAGUAUUACAUCUUCCCUCUCUCAUUCACAUAACAUCCUUCUAAAUUUUAACUGCUCUUUUUACUGUAGAUUGGUUACUCUGUACAAAUUUCUN
rnacentral:lncRNA from 1 species